GGAUGCGAUCAUACCUGCACUAACGUACUAGAUCCCAUCAGAACUCUGAAGUUAAGCGUGCUUGGACGAGAGUAGUAGUAGGAUGGGUGAUCGCCUGGGAAAUCCUCAUGUUGCAUCCC